GACGAACCGUGCGAACGUUAUUCGGAAUCACUGGGCUUAAAGCGCGUGUAGGCGGACGGCACGUCUGUCGCUGAAAUCCCCCGGCUUAACCGGGGAACUGGCGUAGAUACGACCGUCCUUGAGGGGCGUAGGGGGGACCUGGAACUUCCGGUGGAGCGGUGAAAUGCGUUGAGAUCGGAAGGAACGCCCGUGGCGAAAGCGAGGUCCUGGACGCCUACUGACGCUGAGACGCGAAAGCCAGGGGAGCGAACGGG
rnacentral:rRNA from 1 species